GAAAUAAUAAAUAUAGUCAUAAGGCAAAAAGCUAGCACUUUGGGCAGGGAGAAGUGGUUUGAUAUGGUGAAGCGUUUUCGGAUGUUAUAUUUCGUCCCUCAUUCAGUACCGUCACUUACAAGUUUGAAGACUGUCAGAUGAACACUAUCCAUUUAAAUACUAUUUAUAUGAACUUUUGUGCUUAUACGAACUCUCAUGAGAAUGUCCGUUAAUUAAGUUGAAGAUCCAAAUAUUACCUGCAUGUAUGUGUAUACAGUGUCUUAUACACGACUUCGACAAGAGCAUAUGUUUUGAAGUGCCAUGUGUUUUCAACCCACAAUGUGUUUGCCUAUGUGUAUAUUGUUACAGGUUAUUUUGUUACCAUUUUGUAUUAAGUUUUAUCCCUAUAUAUUUAUGUGUAUUAUAUGAGCCAUGUAUCUAUAUUCCUAUUUACACGCAUGUAUUUUUGAAAUCUUUCUAUUUUUAAAAAUUGUUUAAUGUUCCAUAACUGAAUUCUAACGAUAGAAUGAUUGUAGGUGAUGGUACUGAUGAGGGACGGAAUGUAGCGUCCGAGAGCGUUUUGCCGUAUUGAAUUGCUUCUCUUUGCC
rnacentral:lncRNA from 1 species